AACGCGAAGAACCUUACCUGGGCUUGACAUACACUGGAUUGCUGCAGAGAUGUAGUGUCCCUUUGGGGCUGGUGUACAGGUGGUGCAUGGUUGUCGUCAGCUCGUGUCGUGAGAUGUUGGGUUAAGUCCCGCAACGAGCGCAACCCUUGUCUUGUGUUGCCAGCACGUGAUGGUGGGGACUCGCGAGAGACUGCCGGGGUUAACUCGGAGGAAGGUGGGGAUGACGUCAAAUCAUCAUGCCCCUUAUGUCCAGGGGCUUCGCGCAUGCUACAAUGGUCGGUACAGGGGGUUGCGAUGCCGGCGAGGUGGAGCGAAGCCAAUCCCUUAAAGCCGGUCUCAGUUCGGAUUGGAGUCUGCAACUCGACUCCAUUAAGUCGGAAGUCGCUUGUAACGCAGAUCAGCUAUGCUGCGGUAAUC
rnacentral:rRNA from 1 species